rnacentral:rRNA from 1 species
CGACCGGCGCACGGGUGAGUAACACGUAUGCAACCUGCCCUCUUCAGGGGGACAACCUUCCGAAAGGGAGGCUAAUCCCGCGUAUAUCGGUUUCGGGCAUCCGAGAUCGAGGAAAGAUUCAUCGGAAGAGGAUGGGCAUGCGGCGCAUUAGCUAGACGGCGGGGUAACGGCUCACCGUGGCGACGAUGCGUAGGGGUUCUGAGAGGAAGGUCCCCCANACUGGUACUGAGACACGGACCAGACUCCUACGGGAGGCAGCAG